GCAAGGUAUUAUAACAAGUGUACAGACCUCCGAUUAGUCAGUCUGCAUGAGUCUGUACGAGUCUGCAUUUAUCUGCACCUGUCUGUACCAGUCUACCUCCUGGAGAAAAACAAAGAGAACCAUUGGGAAUAUCAUCUAGUGCAUACAAGAAAAUCACACUCAUGAAACGUUGUUGUGUACAUAAAACUUUAAGAGACCAGUUACAUAAAGACGCAUUUUACAAAUCUAUUCUUGCAUUUGUUGUCAAUGAGGUACCUUCGUCCUUUGCAAUGCCAGCUGUAUCUCUGAAACCAUUCAAGAGACUUGUUAACUUCAGUGAUACUACAUUUCGUUUUGAUGAAAUGUACCGCAGACAUUUCCCUUUAGUAACCCUUGAUUCAGUAUGAAAAUUUACCUAAGUAACUUGCAAAUAAAUGACUUACAGAUUUGGAAAAAAUAA